UACGGGAGGCAGCAGUGGGGAAUAUUGGACAAUGGGCGAAAGCCUGAUCCAGCCAUGCCGCGUGUGUGAAGAAGGUCUUCGGAUUGUAAAGCACUUUAAGUUGGGAGGAAGGGCUGCUGGUUAAUACCCUGCAGUUUUUGACGUUACCAACAGAAUAAGCACCGGCUAACUUCGUGCCAGCAGCCGCGGUAAUACGAAGGGUGCAAGCGUUAAUCGGAAUUACUGGGCGUAAGGCGCGCGUAGGUGGUUCGUUAAGUUGGAUGUGAAAGCCCCGGGCUCAACCUGGGAACUGCAUCCAAAACUGGCGAGCUAGAGUACGGUAGAGGGUGGUGGAAUUUUCCUGUGUAGCGGUGAAAUGCGUAGAUAUAGGAAGGAACACCAGUGGCGAAGGCGACCACCUGGACUGAUACUGACACUGAGGUGCGAAAGCGUGGGGAGCAAACAGGGAUUAGAUACC
rnacentral:rRNA from 1 species